rnacentral:rRNA from 1 species
GAUGAACGCUGGCGGCGUGCCUAAUACAUGCAAGUCGAGCGAACGGACGAGAAGCUUGCUUCUCUGAUGUUAGCGGCGGACGGGUGAGUAACACGUGGAUAACCUACCUAUAAGACUGGGAUCACUUCGGGAAACCGCAGCUAAUACCGGAUAAUAUUUUGAACCGCAUGGUUCAAAAGUGAAACACGGUCUUGCUGUCACUUAUAUAUGGAUCCGCGCUGCAUUAGCUAGUUGGUAAGGUAACGGCUUACCAAGGCAACGAUGCAUAGCCGACCUGAGAGGGUGAUCGGCCACACUGGAACUGAGACACGGUCCAGACUCCUACGGGAGGCAGCAGUAGGGAAUCUUCCGCAAUGGGCGAAAGCCUGACGGAGCAACGCCGCGUGAGUGAUGAAGGUCUUCGGAUCGUAAAACUCUGUUAUUAGGGAAGAACAUAUGUGUAAGUAACUGUGCACAUCUUGACGGUACCUAAUCAGAAAGCCACGGCUAACUACGUG